ensembl:lncRNA
ACGCGUUUCCGGUCAGGAGAUUAAGCAUGUGUACGGCGGUGGGUAUGAAGUCAGCAGUAACGUGAAAGAUGUGACGUGUUGCAGUGCAGUGUGUGUACAGAUUUUUGGGGGGAGUUUUUGACUGAGAAUAAAUGCAACAACUCCUCAAAAUCUAAAAGGAAACCCGAGCUAAGUUCCCAUGUCUUUCUUACAAUGCAGUUAAUUAUAAUUUAAGUUUAUAAUUGAAGAGGAUUAUUCCCGAUGUCAGCAUGUCGGCUCCGGCACUGUUUAACUGAAAGCAGGGUUAAAUAUUUUAUAAUUAACAUCCUUACAGCAUCCCUUCUUUUAGUCACAUUUUGAUUAGAUGAAAAAUUUGAUUGCUUUGCAAUCGUUACGGACGUUAAAGCAAUUAACCGCGGUUCAAUGUUUGAAUCGAUAAGACAGCCGUUUGCAUGUAGCCACUUCCUGCCCCUGGUCAUGGCCUCCUCUGUAAGUACGGAGUUGACGCCGUCGUGGACAGAAAACGCUUUCCCUUUUUGUCCCUUUUGAACUGUGUCCAUCUUUCAACUGGGCUCGGGGCAGUCGGGCGUGUGGAGUAACCGCUCGGUGAUUGUUGGAAUUACUGGCCAUGGUCAACCUGUUAGGAAAAGGUGGCCCAGCUUCAAUAUUUAGAGGUGAAGAUUGCACAAUUGCACAGAUCGAAAAUGAAUACAGAGAUUUGCCGCAGUAAAUAAUUGAUUGGUUCCAGACAAACUGAGAGCUCCCCGGAUAAGCUCCAGAGAGGACGAGGUCCCAGUUCUUUUGGUUUUUGUAUUACUCAUUUGGAUCUUUAAUACAGUAAGUUCAAAAGUGUAUCUAUAUAUACUGCACAGUUUGGAAGGGAUAAUAAGUGUCGUAAUGCAGGGGCUGGGGGCAAGUGCGGGUGAAAAGGUUAAGUGUAUUUGUUUAUGUACUCCUCUUGAUAAUGCUAUUAGCAGUGUCUGUGCAUGUAUUUUACAAGGAUGCUUAUGUUGCAUAAAGCCAUUGGAUGUUGACCGUUGUCACAAUGGAACGUUUCUCUUAGUACCACCUCACUGAUGUAUAAGUGGGACGUUUUCGACUGGGUCAGUGAGGAUGCAAGGUUACUUUUGAGGCCCUCUUUCGUUCUUGUCUGACUACUAAGGUCCUGUGUUGUGCGAUUUGUCAUCUCAUCCACCGAAUGAAUGGGUGAAUAAAACUGGGUGACUCAAGUAAAAUCAUAAACAAUUGACGACGUUGAUCUGCCAUAACAUCAUUUGUUAUUGUAAAAAGUUGCGCUCAGCUCGGCAGCUUAAAGACGAGUGGCGGGCGAGCGCUUCUCACUUGUUUCUGUCAAUAAAUGUCGAAACUUGCCACUGUGGGGGGGAGGACCCCCACAAGGAGGAUUGCCGCCUUGCUGCAUGUUAAUACACAUUUCACCCUAAAAUGAGUAUUCAUAGCCAUUCACAUUAACAUAUAUUCAACAAAGUCUAGCCAGCAGGAAAACAUGAAAACAUAUGUAUUAGUGAUGUGAUUGUAAUUAAACUUUUAUAUUGUGAUAAAGAAUGAACCCAGCCACCAUAUUGUGUGGUAAACUGCUAGCGGCCCGGGGGUCUGAAAUCUCUGCACAACACUAAAAUGGUCCAAAUAGUGUGAUCAUGAUUCCAAGAAAACAAUAAAUACAGUUCAUUUAUCUUGUUUUGAGUACAAAUCCUGAAUUGUUUACAUCAAAAAUGUAUUUGGACUGUUGGAGCUGCCAUUGAUUAAACUCCCUGAUGUGCUAACAGUAUUGAUUCAUGUAUCUAGAAUUCACAGGGUUGCAUUUAUUGUAAUCCACUAUGUGAAAAAUAAAGUUCUCUCUCCGCAGUAGUCUGCCGGCUGUGAUGAAUGAAACAUUGGAUUUUGGGUAGACUUUUGGCUGAGCUGUGGCCACAUGUAUAGAGAAGCACAACAGAAGUUUCCACAAAAAUAUAUUUAGAGGAGAAG